GCCACCGUAGCUCAAUUGAAAGAGCACACCUCCCAUGAGCUGAGGUUGUGGGUUUGAGUCCCACCGGCGGCA
rnacentral:tRNA from 3 species